rnacentral:rRNA from 1 species
AAUGAACGCUGGCGGCGUGUUUAAGACAUGCAAGUCGUACGGAGUGACAUGAGUAGCAAUACGAGUGUCGCUCAGUGGCGCACGGGUGCGUAACACGUGAGUUACAUGCCCUGCAGAGAGGGAUAGCCCAGGGAAACUUGGAUUAAUACUUCAUGGUCUCGCAAGAGUAAAGGUGGCGAAAGCUGCCGCUGCAGGAUUGGCUCGCGGCCUAUCAGCUAGUUGGUGAGGUAACGGCUCACCAAGGCGACGACGGGUACCUGGUCUGAGAGGACGAUCAGGCACACUGGAACUGAGACACGGUCCAGACACCUACGGGUGGCAGCAGUCGAGAAUCAUUCACAAUGGGGGCAACCCUGAUGGUGCAACGCCGCGUGGAGGAUGAAGGUCUUCGGAUUGUAAACUCCUGUCAUCUAGGAGCAAGGCAUGGCUGUGAAUAGCAGACAUGAUUGAUAGUACUAGAAGAGGAAGGGACGGCUAACUUCGUGCCAGCCGCCGCAGUAACAC